UUCGCCCUUAGGGUUUGAUCAUGGCUCAGGAUGAACGCUGGCGGCGUGCCUAAUACAUGCAAGUCGAGCGAACAGAUAAGGAGCUUGCUCCUUUGACGUUAGCGGCGGACGGGUGAGUAACACGUGGGUAACCUACCUAUAAGACUGGAAUAACUCCGGGAAACCGGGGCUAAUGCCGGAUAACAUAUAGAACCGCAUGGUUCUAUAGUGAAAGAUGGUUUUGCUAUCACUUAUAGAUGGACCCGCGCCGUAUUAGCUAGUUGGUAAGGUAAUGGCUUACCAAGGCGACGAUACGUAGCCGACCUGAGAGGGUGAUCGGCCACACUGGAACUGAGACACGGUCCAGACUCCUACGGGAGGCAGCAGUAGGGAAUCUUCCGCAAUGGGCGAAAGCCUGACGGAGCAACGCCGCGUGAGUGAUGAAGGGUUUCGGCUCGUAAAACUCUGUUAUUAGGGAAGAACAUAUGUGUAAGUAACUGUGCACAUCUUGGCGGUACCUAAUCAGAAAGCCACGGCUAACUACGUGCCAGCAGCCGCGGUAAUACGUAGGUGGCAAGCGUUAUCCGGAAUUAUUGGGUGUAAAGCGCGCGUAGGCGGUUUCUUAAGUCUGAUGUGAAAGCCCACGGCUCAACCGUGGAGGGUCAUUGGAAACUGGGAAACUUGAGUGCAGAAGAGGAAAGUGGAAUUCCAUGUGUAGCGGUGAAAUGCGCAGAGAUAUGGAGGAACACCAGUGGCGAAGGCGACUUUCUGGUCUGUAACUGACGCUGAUGUGCGAAAGCGUGGGGAUCAAACAGGAUUAGAUACCCUGGUAGUCCACGCCGUANACGAUGAGUGCUAAGUGUUAGGGGGUUUCCCGCCCCUAGUGCUGCAGCNUACGCAUUAAGCACUCCGCCUAGGGAGUACGACCGCANGGNUUGAACUCAAAGGAAUUGACGGGGACCCGNNCACAGCGUGGAGCAUGUGGGUUAAUUUCGAGCAACGCGGAGAACCUUUACAAAUCUUGACAUCCUUUGACCACUCUAGAGAUAGGGCUUUCCCCUUUCGGGGACAAGUGACAGUGGUGCAUGGUGUCCUCACUCGGNCNUGAGAUGUUGGGUUAGUCCCGCACGAGCGCACCCUUAAGCUAGAUGCCAUCAUUAGUUGGCACUCUAGGUGACUGCCGG
rnacentral:rRNA from 1 species